rnacentral:rRNA from 1 species
UACGUAGAGGGCAAGCGUUGUUCGGAAUGACUGGGCGUAAAGGGUGCGUAGGCGGUGUAGCAAGUUAGAAGUGAAAUACCUAGAGCUUAACUCAGGUGCUGCUUCUAAAACUGCUAUACUUGAGUGCAGUAGAGGAAAGUGGAAUUCCUAGUGUAGCGGUGGAAUGCGUAGAUAUUAGGAGGAACAUCAGUGGCGAAGGCGACUUUCUGGACUGUAACUGACGCUGAGGCACGAAAGUGUGGGGAGCAAACAGG